CCCUGCUUGACCACCCAUCUCAUCGUGAAACCCUUACUGUGCCCCAGUCAUUAAUCAGAUGAGAUCACCUGAAAAGGUACGUCAAUUACAAGAUCAGUUCCUAGUAAUUCCCUGCACCAAUUUGAACAAAAUGAGAUGUGCGUCUUUUGCUCCCACCUGUGAGAUGCAGCCGUUCCCCGUAGGCGCAUUCCCUCGAACACCUGGAGCGCGACGAAGGAAACGACGAACCCCACGGCAGUCGGCACCAUCUCCUGCUUCCACCUUGGCUAGCUGCCCCUGCGCUCAGGCACGGCGCGAGUGGCCGCGGCCACCAGGGAGGGAACCAAGGGGACGCCUCGUAUUGUUCUCGAUUCAGUUA
rnacentral:lncRNA from 1 species